rnacentral:rRNA from 1 species
GACGAACGCUGGCGGCGUGCCUAAUACAUGCAAGUCGAGCGCAGGAAACUGACGGAACUCUUCGGAGGGAAGGCAGUGGAAUGAGCGGCGGACGGGUGAGUAACACGUAAGGAACCUGCCUCAAGGAUUGGGAUAACUCCGAGAAAUCGGAGCUAAUACCGGAUAGUUCAUCGGACCGCAUGGUCCGUUGAUGAAAGGCGCUUCGGCGUCACCUUGAGAUGGCCUUGCGUUGCAUUAGCUAGUUGGUGGGGUAACGGCCCACCAAGGCGACGAUGGAUAACCUACCUGAGAGGGUGUUCGGCCACACUGGGACUGAGACACGGCCCAGACUCCUACGGGAGGCAGCAGUAGGGAAUCUUCCACAAUGGACGAAAGUCUGAUGGAGCAACGCCGCGUGAGUGAUGAAGGUUUUCGGAUCGUAAAACUCUGUUGUAAGGGAAGAACACGUACGAGAGGAAAUGCUCGUACCUUGACGGUACCUUACGAGAAAGCCACGGCUAACUACGUGCCAGCCGCCGCCGUAA